rnacentral:rRNA from 1 species
GACGAACGCUGGCGGCGUGCUUAACACAUGCAAGUCGAACGAUGAAACAGAGAAACGCGAACUUCGGUUCAAAUUUCACUUCGGAUUAUUGGCAGACGGGUGAGUAACUCGUGAGCAACCUACCUCUUACAAAGGGAUAGCCUAGGGCAACCGUGAUUAAUACCAUAUGACACAUUCAUAAGGCAUCUUAAGAAUGUUAAAGCUACGGCGGGAAGAGAGGGGCUCGCGUCCCAUUAGCUAGAAGGUGAGGUAACGGCCCACCAAGGCGACGAUGGGUAACCGGGCUGAGAGGGUGAACCGUCACAUUUGAACUGAGACACGGUCCAAACUCCUACGGGAGGCAGCAGUGGGGAAUAUUGCACAAUUGAGGGAACUCUGAUGCAGCGACGCCGCGUGAGCGAUGAAGGAAUUCGUGUCGUAAUGCUCUGUUCUAUGUGAAGAAAAGGACUGUACCAUAGGAGAAAGCCCCGGCUAAAUACGUG